UACAGCCAUAUCACAUUGAAACAAACACCAGUUCCCAUAUGAUCACUGAAGUUAAGCAAUGUUGAUGCAGGUCAGUACCUAGAUGGGUGACUACUUGGGAAUACCAGGUGCUGUAAG